rnacentral:tRNA from 1 species
CGGGAGAUGGCUGAGUGGUCGAAAGCGGCGGUCUUGAAAACCGUUGAGGGUAAUACCUCCAGGGGUUCGAAUCCCUUUCUCCCGGCCA